rnacentral:rRNA from 2 species
AAGCGGUGAAAUGCGGAGAAGAUUUUGGGAGGAACACCAAGUGGCGAAGGGCGUCUUUUCUGGUCUGUAACUGACAAUGGAGGCGGAAAGCGUGGGGAGCAAACAGGAUUUAGAUACCCUGGUAGUCCACGCCGUAAACGAUGAGUGCUAAGUGUUAGAGGGUUUCCGCCCUUUAGUGCUGCAGCUAACGCAUUAAGCACUCCGCCUGGGGAGUACGGCCGCAAGGCUGAAACUCAAAGGAAUUGACGGGGGCCCGCACAAACGGUGGAGCAUGUGGUUUAAUUCGAAGCAACGCGAAGAACCUUACCAGGUCUUGACAUCCUCUGACAACCCUAGAGAUAGGGCUUUCCCCUUCGGGGGACAGAGUGACAGGUGGUGCAUGGUUGUCGUCAGAUCGUGUCGUGAGAUGUUGGGUUAAGUCCCGCAACGAGCGCAACCCUUGAUCUUAGUUGCCAGCAUUCAGUUGGGCACUCUAAGGUGACUGCCGGUGACAAACCGGAGGAAGGUGGGGAUGACGUCAAAUCAUCAUGCCCCUUAUGACCUGGGCUACACACGUGCUACAAUGGAUGGUACAAAGGGCUGCAAACCUGCGAAGGUAAGCGAAUCCCAUAAAGCCAUUCUCAGUUCGGAUUGCAGGCUGCAACUCGCCUGCAGAAGCCGGAAUCGCUAGUAAAUCGCGGGAUCAGCCAUGC